CCCUUAGAUGUCCUGGGCCGCACGCGUGCUACACUGACGCCUACAGCGAGUACUUCCCAGCCCCGAGGGGUGGCUGGUAAUCAGCAAUAGGCGUCGUGAUGGGGAUAGAUCUUUGGAAUUAUGGAUCUUGAACGAGGAAUGCCUAGUAAGCGCAGGUCAUUAGCCUGCGUUGAUUAAGUCCCUGCCCUUUGUACACACCGCCCGUCGCUCCUACCGAUUUCGAGUGGUCCGGUGAAUCUUUCGGACUGCGCGCGGCUUCGUGCCGUGUCGCGGAAAGUCAGGUAAACCUUAUCACUUAGAGGAAGGAGAAGUCGUAACA
rnacentral:rRNA from 1 species